rnacentral:lncRNA from 1 species
CUCUGUUGUGUAGGUCCAGUUUGUGUUGCCCAGCAUUUAAUCUUCCCCACCAAGCAAGUCACCACCACCAUCACUGUCUUCACAAUAAGUAUGCCAGAGAAGAUAGGUAAUGAGUUAGGAAUAUUGGGAAGACCAAAUUAAAUUGAACAAGAAAUAAGUGGAAAUGAAUGAGUCCAAGUACUUUGUGUUUGUUUGUCUGUAGUACAGUUUUCUGGUGGAGAUUAGUUUGCUUCUGUUCAAUCUAUCCGUUUCGUUUACGACA